AGGUUCAAGAUAACAUCAACCUAUUCUAUUGCACCAGAGAAAACAUAACCAACAUUUUAACUAGCAUGAGUGUCGACCCGGGCAUUAUGAGUCAGAUGCCUUCAUUGACUGUGUUAAUCGAUGAUCAUCUUUUCCAGUCUAUUCUUCCCCUUGCUAACCAGGUGCAUUUACCUGCAAAUACUUCUCUAAAGGAAGAGCCGAGAUACUGGUAAAUCUUUUUCGCUUGGAGGGUGGCGAUUCGAUAUCUGUAACUGAAGUUGGCUUCCACAUAGCAAAUCGAAGCUUCUUCAGAUGGCUGCUAUGUUCUUCAAGGGAGAUCCUACUCGGAACACCGAGGCAAGCGACUGAGCGAGGAAGGCCGAGGAAUACCGAG